rnacentral:rRNA from 1 species
CCUACGGGAGGCAGCAGUGGGGAAUUUUGGACAAUGGGCGAAAGCCUGAUCCAGCAAUGCCGCGUGAGUGAAGAAGGCCUUCGGGUUGUAAAGCUCUUUUGUCAGGGAAGAAACGGUGCGGGCUAAUAUCCUGCACUAAUGACGGUACCUGAAGAAUAAGCACCGGCUAACUACGUGCCAGCAGCCGCGGUAAUACGUAGGGUGCAAGCGUUAAUCGGAAUUACUGGGCGUAAAGCGUGCGCAGGCGGUUUUGUAAGUCUGUCGUGAAAUCCCCGGGCUCAACCUGGGAAUUGCGAUGGAGACUGCAAGGCUAGAAUCUGGCAGAGGGGGGUAGAAUUCCACGUGUAGCAGUGAAAUGCGUAGAGAUGUGGAGGAACACCGAUGGCGAAGGCAGCCCCCUGGGUCAAGAUUGACGCUCAUGCACGAAAGCGUGGGGAGCAAACAGGAUUAGAUACCCUGGUAGUCCACGCCCUAAACGAUGUCUACUAGUUGUCGGGUUUUAAUUAACUUGGUAACGCAGCUAACGCGUGAAGUAGACCGCCUGGGGAGUACGGUCGCAAGAUUAAAACUCAAAGGAAUUGACGG